GCUUCUGUUCCAUCUUCAAGAAGUCUUGUCUUGUUUAUUUUUACCUGUCAACUCUUUCUCAUACUCAAUUUGUAGAUUAAUUCAUCUUAACUUGUGCAGUUUUGCCAGUUAAAUUUUUCUUUUAUGGAUAAAAUUGAUAACUAGCGCUAGCAGUCUUGACUGCAGCAGCGGGCCUCUGCCACGUGCCUCAUUGCGCGUGGCCUUUGGACAGGAUUGCUACAAAAUGAUGGUGGCCAGAAACCGGUUGAAAAUGCUUAAUUUAAGCUUUGAAGGACAUCAGCUACUAUGCUGGUCUUGGGGAAAUCAAGAGACGUGAAGCAUCUGGUAGAACCAAAGAGGUUUGCUUACAGUACUUAUACCGGCUGCUGGGUGACAUGCAGAGCAGGUUGCUUACGCUACCUGAAUUGACUGUUGGGUGACAUGCACAGCAGGUUGUUCCCUACUCUUGGAUUCACUUCACAUGGUGGCUCAGUCAAAGAAACUGGCUGUUCAAAGGGCCAAAUGAAGAAGCUGUGGCAGAACAAAAGGCCAAGUAAAGAUGCAAUGUAAAGCCUUGCUGUUGGAGAAUCUUCCUACUCUUGUGUUGAUGGAGUAAGAUGAGUUUUGAGGACAAGACUGCAAAAAGCAAGGUUGGAUUGCUGACUUGGAGACCAGUCUGAAUAACAUGAUGUAUUCUGAGGAAAAGAGCUGGGUCUGCCACACUGACCCUGGAUGCUGCUAUGAAGCAAUUUGGCCUCAAGGACAAAGAAUGGCACUCGGUUGAUGGAUGAGGACCUUGGCACCUGUGGCCAAAACAUGAAUCUCAAGAACUUGUCAAUAUUAUGGAAAAUGUGGCAAUAAAUACUGAAAAA